GGGGCUGUAGCGCAGUUGGGAGCGCGCUUGAAUGGCAUUCAAGAGGUCAGGGGUUCGAUCCCCCUCAGCUCCA
rnacentral:tRNA from 1 species